AAAGUGCGAAAAGUGUCAUGACUUGCAGAUUCCCGAGAGCUGACAAAUCUCUGAAUGCAAAUGGCAGCCGAGUGAGACCCGGCUAUGUAUUGUAGAGUGUAGACGCUCCAGCUAUUCAUCAUUCCCAUCUCCCCCGUCUCUCUAUCCAGAGAGUUGAGGAAGAGAACGAGAGAAUGGAUCUGCGCUUGUACACUAGAUUAGUUCUAGCUGUACGAGUGUUAAAUGUAAAGGUCGGUGAAGGAGAGGUAACACUCAACUUCACAAGGAGCACCGAUGAAACGCAUACAUACGCUAUGAAUCUCAUUGUGUGUCUUCAACACGACAACCACUCAUAUAUGAGCCACCUCUAUGAUGCAAGAUAACCCGCUGAACUUAA
rnacentral:misc_RNA from 1 species